GCCGUUAAAAUUAUAUAAAAAAAACUUUCUGGGUGCCUUUCCUGGCACUCGCGGAGAGGCUUUUUUCCGAGUGCCAGGACAAGAUUUUUUUUCUUAUUUUUUGCCCCAUUUUUUGUAGGUCUUUCCACAUUAUUUAAAACUCUUUGUUCACAUUUGGGACAAUUUUGACUUUUUGGUAUAUUUUAUUAUUUUUCGUUUCAUUGAAUUUUUUGCAUACUUCAAAUUUGAACUGUAGGUGCAUGAAAUAAUUAAAUGUCUUGAUUCCAAAAAUGAUAUUCAUGAUAUUUGGUGUAUGUUGAUGCCAUAUCCAGGAACUCACAUGAAACAUCAAGCAUCUUGUUGUUGUAACAUUAUGAACAACUUACGGGAAAAGUAUAUUUAAAUUAUACAAAAUCUGAACGAAGUCCUAAAUCACAAAACUUGUCUGGGCGUCAUGUUAGUCAAAUGGAGAAGGUUUCUAGACAGUUGCGAUAUUCCUUAGCUUUGCAUUAUUGAAACAUUGGAGUCAAAUUUCAUGCUGGAAAUGUGGUUAUCAAUCUUCGUGUCGACGUUUUUCUUGCAGGUUUUGGAAACCUUCCCAUGCAGGAGAGGUGUUGCCGAAAUUUUUAACUUUUCUUUACACUCCUUACAUUUUUAUUUUGUCACUCACGUGCAAUCUCUUCUCUUUUUUGCAGCAUGAAUCGGAUGCGG
rnacentral:lncRNA from 1 species